UGGUGCGAUCAUACCAGCAUUAAUGCACCGGAUCCCAUCAGAACUCCGAAGUUAAAAGUGCUGGGCGAGAGUAGU
rnacentral:rRNA from 1 species